rnacentral:rRNA from 1 species
GACGAACGCUGGCUGCGUGCUUAACACAUGCAAGUCGAACGGUAAGGCCCUUCGGGGUACACGAGUGGCGAACGGGUGAGUAACACGUGGGUGAUCUGCCCUGCACUUCGGGAUAAGCCUGGGAAACUGGGUCUAAUACCGGAUAGGACCACUGCCUGCAUGGGUGGUGGUGGAAAGCUUUUGCGGUGUGGGAUGGGCCCGCGGCCUAUCAGCUUGUUGGUGGGGUGAUGGCCUACCAAGGCGACGACGGGUAGCCGGCCUGAGAGGGUGACCGGCCACACUGGGACUGAGAUACUGCCCAGACUCCUACGGGAGGCAGCAGUGGGGAAUAUUGCACAAUGGGCGCAAGCCUGAUGCAGCGACGCCGCGUGAGGGAUGACGGCCUUCGGGUUGUAAACCUCUUUCAGCACCGACGAAGCGCAAGUGACGGUAGGUGCAGAAGAAGGACCGGCCAACUACGUGCCAGCCGCCGCCGUAA